rnacentral:pre_miRNA from 1 species
AACUAGGAAGCCUUCCUUGGUCUCUAAUCUGCCCAACAACUUCGGCAAUCUGCCYCAUUUGUUUCUCUAGUUGAUCCACCCUUYUGUUUUGAUUUUCWUGCYCCUGAGUCAAGGUGGARAGUAGCUUAACAAGUGUAUCAUUAUUCAAAUMAUUACCUGAAGUAGUUUGGGCAGGUUGUGGARGAGCUUGUGUGGGUGCGU